UACGUAGGUGGCAAGCGUUGUCCGGAUUUACUGGGCGUAAAGAGCGCGCAGGCGGUUGUGCAAGUCGCGUGUGAAAGCCCCCGGCUCAACUGGGGAGGGUCACGCGAUACUGAUCGACUCGAAGGCAGGAGAGGGUAGUGGAAUUCCCGGUGUAGUGGUGAAAUGCGUAGAUAUCGGGAGGAACACCAGUGGCGAAGGCGACUACCUGGCCUGUUCUUGACGCCUGAGGCGCGAAAGCUAGGGGAGCAAACGGG
rnacentral:rRNA from 1 species